CCGAGCGGAACGCCGAAUCCUGCCGCCGCUCGAGAAGCCUUCGACCCCAUAACGGCAGGAGCGGGGGACCCAAGUAGGUCGCCGAACCGGACAUCGCACCGGAACGGCUCGGGGUGAAGCCGUGCCUCGGCAGCGAGGACACGGCCGGGCACCUCCCCGCCCGAACCCGACAGCUCACCUCGCAGGCGACGGAGAGGAAUA
rnacentral:sRNA from 2 species